UUGGUAGAGGUGCAUUUUGUAAAAAGUAAGUUUUUGCCCUAAGGGUUUCCUUAAAGCUCGUUUCGCCGAGCGUGGCUUAAACCGAAAGGUGCAGGUGCCGAAGGAGGUUAACGCGAAAGUAACUUUCCUGGCAAAAUGAAAUAAGAUUCAUUUUGCUGUCGCGGCGGUAUGCCGCGGAGCGCUAUCGU
rnacentral:ncRNA from 1 species